UGGGGAAUUUUGGACAAUGGGGGAAACCCUGAUCCAGCCAUCCCGCGUGUGCGAUGAAGGCCUUCGGGUUGUAAAGCACUUUUGGCAGGAAAGAAACGUCAUGGGUUAAUACCCCGUGAAACUGACGGUACCUGCAGAAUAAGCACCGGCUAACUACGUGCCAGCAGCCGCGGUAAUACGUAGGGUGCAAGCGUUAAUCGGAAUUACUGGGCGUAAAGCGUGCGCAGGCGGUUCGGAAAGAAAGAUGUGAAAUCCCAGAGCUCAACUUUGGAACUGCAUUUUUAACUACCGGGCUAGAGUGUGUCAGAGGGAGGUGGAAUUCCGCGUGGAGCAUUGAAAUGCGUAGAUAUGCGGAGGAACACCGAUGGCGAAGGCAGCCUCCUGGGAUAACACUGACGCUCAUGCACGAAAGCGUGGGGAGCAAACAGG
rnacentral:rRNA from 1 species